rnacentral:lncRNA from 1 species
CCAUUUCCCAGAGAGGCCAGAGGCAGAGGGGUGCAGAAGAGAGAGCAGAGCCCCUUUGCCUGGGCACAUCUGGGCUCACUACAUGGGAAAGGGCCCCAGGACAAGGGAAGACGAGAAGAGACAGGCCAGGCCCAAGGAGGGAGAGGACCUGAGAUCGAAGAUAGGAGAGAGGAAGACAAGAAGGAGAAGCAGAAAUGAGAAGGUUGGAGAAAUCCGAAGAGGCAGCUAGGGAGAGUGGGAGGUGAAUGAGCAAACAGCACAGAAAAAGAAACAGCAGUAUAUGUGGAAGAAAGCAAGAAAAAUCAACUGGCCUGGAACCUAAGACUUGUCCAAAGAUGUCACAGAGAGUAAAAUGAGAAAAAUCCAGUAGCCCGUGCCCAGAGCAGUUCCUCGUACCCAG